UGUGCUCUCUUGUCCUGCUAUCUUUAUCAUCAAUCUAAUCAAGAUAACAAAAUGGGGACAUUCUUCUGCUACAUACAUGGAAACAGAUAUAUUUUUCCAGUUAUAGUGCAAUCAGAUAACUUGUUUUCAGAGGUCUAUAGUUUUACAAUGUUUCUUUUGUUACUGCCGAGUUAAUAUUUCUUGCUGUGAAGUGGAAGGAUUAGUAAAUUGACCUGGAAGUUGUGGAAGUGUGAACAUUAUCCUGAAACUGUGUGGUAAUUUUUUGUGAACAGAAAUUGAACCUGCACUUAGUCUUGUAUUGAAAUAAAAUUAAAAAUUGUAUCAGGCGCUCAAUCUUCUACUGCAUUGAAAACAUCUCAUUAAAGCAUUGUCUAAUUAGGGUGUGGAGUCAUUCCCUUUUCUUAAUGAUAUUAAUAUUCAAGAUGUUAGAAGAAAUAUAAAAUCCAAAUUUUAAAGAAAUAAAAAAAUCCAACUAAAAAAAUAAAAAUAAAAAAUAAAAUCGAUGUUUAAGUCCUGGAACUGAAAUUCUGCCAGGCUUACAUACUGUAUUUGAUUUCUCUGCUUAAAAAAAAUCUGUCCUUUGUAACAAAUUUGAAUGUGUGCUUUUUGGAAUUUAAUUGUAACGUGCCUGGCACUAAUGAUUCCUUUUACUUCUAAUUAAAGCACAUCCCUAUAAGUUUUAGGGAUCUCAACUCACCAGCAGCUGUCAGAGGUGAAGCAUUACCAACAGGAAAAGAAUCUUUGCCAGCUCACUUUGAAGCUGAAGCAGCUGUUACACCUCCUGCUGCUGCUCCUGAUGUUCACUUUCAACCUGAAGCAGCUGUUACGCCUCCUGCUGCUCCUCCAGAUGCAUGCUGGGAACAACCUAGACACCCAUUCUACACUUUGUUAGGAACUGACAUACCUGCUGGUGGGACACCCCCCAGAACCUACUCUGUGCCUGGAACUGGCAGAAUCUCUGGUGUGUCACCCUA